rnacentral:rRNA from 1 species
UACGAAGGGUGCAAACGUUGCUCGGAAUUACUGGGCGUAAAGCGUAUGUAGGCGGCUUCGUAAGACAGAUGUGAAAUCCCAGAGCUUAACUUUGGAACUGCAUUUGUGACUGCAAGGCUUGAGUAUCGGAGAGGUUGGCGGAAUUCCCAGUGUAGCAGUGAAAUGCGCAGAUAUUGGGAGGAACACCGAUGGCGUAAGCAGCCAACUGGACGAUUACUGACGCUGAGAUACGAAAGUAUGGGGAGCAAACAGG